UGGCGGACGGGUGAGUAACGCGUGAGAAUCUAGCUUUUGGUCGGGGACAACCAUUGGAAACGGUGGCUAAUACCGGAUAUGCCGAAUAGGUGAAAGAUAAAUUGCCAGAAGAAGAGCUCGCGUCUGAUUAGCUAGUUGGUAGGGUAAAGGCCUACCAAGGCAUCGAUCAGUAGCUGGUCUGAGAGGACGAUCAGCCACACUGGGACUGAGACACGGCCCAGACUCCUACGGGAGGCAGCAGUGGGGAAUUUUCCGCAAUGGGCGAAAGCCUGACGGAGCAAGACCGCGUGAGGGAGGAAGGCUCUUGGGUUGUAAACCUCUUUUGUCAGGGAAGAAGAAAGUGACGGUACCUGAAGAAUCAGCAUCGGCUAACUCCGUGCCAGCAGCCGCGGUAAUACGGAGGAUGCAAGCGUUAUCCGGAAUUAUUGGGCGUAAAGCGUCCGCAGGUGGUCAAUCAAGUCUGCUGUCAAAGAGUGGGGCUUAACCCCAAAGAGGCAGUGGAAACUGAAGGACUAGAGUGCUCAAGGGGUAGAGGGAAUUCUCGGUGUAGCGGUGAAAUGCGUAGAGAUCGGGAAGAACAUCGGUGGCGAAAGCGCUCUACUGGAGAGCAACUGACACUCAGGGACGAAAGCUAGGGGAGCGAAUGGGAUUAGAUACCCC
rnacentral:rRNA from 1 species